UGUCCUUUUAGGGUAACGUCGCUUUCCUCCCCUUGAUAGUUCUGGAUCACAUUCUUCCCCCCUUUUUUUUAAUUGCAGAUGAUCGUGGUGGUAGCAUCUUGUCUGUUUUGCUUCUUAAGAAUGUGUGAAUGUUAUCAUCACAUCAGUCAUGUCGUCCAUUGGUCAGUUGCCAUUGCUUUCCAUUCCUCUCCAGUUAGCGGUGAAGGAUUCCUUGAGGUCAUGUUCCUAUGUGUUUGUGGGGGACCCUCCUGUCCCAUCUCCAUUGCAACUUCCACAAUCUUAGUGACCAAUCAGGAACCUGGGAUUUUUAGUGAAGAGGAGCUGAUAAGUUUGAGAACAGCUUAUUGGACCAUUCUUAGGUACGGAUUCAGGCCAGUCUUUGCUGGCUUCCUUUUUCAUUACCUUGGCACCUGAACAGCUGGACUGAAUCGUUCGACAAACCGAACUGUGACAGGUAAGUUCUGCAACCAAUUCUUUCACUUUUUUUGGGGGGGGGUAACAGCUCCCACAUCCCUGGAGAGCAAGAGACACUGACCCCCCGUCCCGUAGUCUUAUAGUUCAGAGUUGGACACAUGAGCCUUGGCUAAAAGCUCUGCCUUUAUAGUUCUAG
rnacentral:lncRNA from 1 species